rnacentral:rRNA from 1 species
UGCCAGCAGCCGCGGUAAUACGUAUGUCGCAAGCGUUAUCCGGAAUUAUUGGGCAUAAAGGGCAUCUAGGCGGCCAGGCAAGUCUGGGGUGAAAACUUGCGGCUCAACCGCAAGCCUGCCCUGGAAACUGCCUGGCUAGAGUGCUGGAGAGGUGGACGGAACUGCACGAGUAGAGGUGAAAUUCGUAGAUAUGUGCAGGAAUGCCGAUGAUGAAGAUAGUUCACUGGACGGCAACUGACGCUGAAGUGCGAAAGCUGGGGGAGCGAACAGGAUUAGAUACCCUGGUAGUCCACACCGUAAACGAUGUACACUAGGUGUUGGGGCAAGAGCUUCAGUGCCAAAGCAAACGCGAUAAGUGUACCGCCUGGGGAGUAUGCCCGCAAGGGUGAAACUCAAAGGAAUUGACGGGGGCCCGCACAAGCGGUGGAGCAUGUGGUUUAAUUCGAUGGUACGCGAGGAACCUUACCUGGGUUUGACAUCUAGUAGAAGGUCUUAGAGAUAAG